rnacentral:lncRNA from 1 species
AUGUACUUGGGAAUCAGGCAUUUCAUUUGUCUCCCUGAGGUUAACCUGCUCUCAGGCUAACCCUUGCUCACUUCUGUGAUUGUGAUAAUGUGGUAUUCUCCAGAGUUACCAAGGAUCACAUGGAAAUGUAAACUUAGCUGAGACAUCAAGGGGCUAAAACAUGUUGCAUAUUUUGAAUACAUUAGGAACUCUCACAUUUGGUAAGAAUAGAGCAUCACAGCAGUUUAACAAUAUACAAAAUACAGCACACAGACCUUGGAUUAAGACACAUUUGAGUGUGCAUUCCUCUACAGGUGGCAUUUUAUAUAAGGACCGUUUAUGAAGCUAGGUGCUUCUUAAGUGUAAGAAACAAGGCCUGACCUGUAACUGUGGUGGUUUAUGGAUUGCAGUUUGUUUACUGUUCUUGUGUGGCAGACAAGUGACUAUGGCUGUAUUUAUAUUUCAGAAAGCUGUUGACAUGCUUUUGGACAAUGAAGAUAAAAUUUCAGUGAGUCUUUUCAUAUGUAAUAGGUUUGUUCUCUGUUGCUAAUAACACAUCACAUCCUGCAGGCUUGAGAGAAAAGAGGUUUACCUGGUUUACUCUCUGGUCCAAGGUCAAGAGGCUGCACUUGGUGAUGGCCUUCUUGCUGGCAGAGUGACAGAUCAUUGUGGGGUGUCACAUAUCAGGACAUAGGGUGAGCCUGUCUCUUGUGAGCGGUCCAGUAUGCACCCUGGAAGAAAGAAGGCAAAUGCAAGCUAUCUGUGGCCAGGCCUGCUCUGUUAGAACUGUUUGCUCUCAGACAGCCUGAACCACUAAGAGGCCAUUUGGUCCCUUUCUAUGAUAAUCAGUCAUCCCCCACUAGGCCCUUCCUCGGGAAGAGUGGCCACAUUAGGAGUCAAGCUGGACUCAAGCUCGGGUGGGAGCAAGGCACAGUCAGGCCAUAGCAUGUAUUAUUAGAUGAGUGUUUGAAGUACUGUGCCUACACUAAAGAGUUUCAGGUUAUUGUCUCCUCAUAACUGCUUUUUAAUUUCUCUUUUUCCUCAGAUUAAAAAAGUGGUAGAAGAAUUAGAAGACAGACCAGAACUGCAGCAUGUGGUGAGCGUUAGUCUCCUUUGCCCUUUUAAUCCACCAGCAGGCAAUACCUGUGGGUCUGUGGGGGUGUCCAUGCAGGAAAUGUUCCUUAGAGAGCACUGCUCAGAUUGGCGUACUGCUCUGUACACCACAGACAGUGUGCAGGUAUUGCUAGAAUGGGACACGUGGAGUGGAGGAACUAAACAUAGCUCAGGUGGUUGGAGUUUAAUUUACAAUUGAAUUGGGACUUUUUUAAAAAAAUAUGUUCUGUUUUGCUAUUUUCUACCAUUUUUUGCCUUUCCUCUGUAGUUGCUAUUAAAUGUAAUCAGGCCACAAAACAUAGCACAGUACAGUAUGAAUACCAAGCCCUGGAAUUCAGUGUUCAGGAACAGAUUUAUAGCUUCUUCUCUCACCUACACUCUACCUAAGCCUAACUCUUCUGUAGAGGUUUUACUGUAUUAUCAAGCCUGUUACUCUAGAUUUCCUCGGAGGCCCCUUUGUUUCUGUGUUUCAUGUCAUCCAGGGAGUAAAGCAGGAGGGGUGUCUUAGGUUUCUAUGGCUGUGAUCAAACACCAUGACCAAAAAUAACUUGGUGAGGAAAGGGUUCAUUCUUAGAACAACUCUCAGGUCCCUCACUGAAGGGAGUCAAGACAGGACCUCAAGGCAGGAACCUGGAAGCAGGACCUGAAGCAGAAGCCAUGAGGGAACACAGCUUGCCCCUCCUAAUUUCCUCAGUCUGCAGUCUUCCAGAGUUUAAGACCACCUGCCAGGGGUGGCAAGGGUCACAAUAGAUGAAGCCCUUUAAUACCAAUCAUGAAUCAACAAAUGACCUACAGAUUUGUCUACAAAUCCUAUGGUGGUAUUUCUUCCAAUUAAAAUUCCCUAUUCCUAGAUAUGUCUUAAGUUUGUGACAAGUUAACAAAAACCAGCACAAGGAGAUAUUUUCUAUAUGCUUGAAAACAUAAGAAAUGCCUUGAGUGGCCAUGGGGAUCACCCUAGUAGGGAUAAUCUUUGCUCUGAAAGUGUGAUGUUCUAUUUUAAGGUCAGCUUCUAUGCAGAAGGCCCGUGGAUGGGAGUGUAAGCUGCAUAUAUUGUGGGUUUGUUUAUUGCUCAGGAUUUAAUGCAGAUUCUAUUACUGUAGUUUUCAUGACC